GACGAACGCUGGCGGCGUGCUUAACACAUGCAAGUCGAACGAAGUGGCGAACGGGUGAGUACUACGUGGGUAACCUGCUCUACGUUGUGGGCUAAGCCAAGGAAUAGGGGUCUAAUACCGAAAACAGGGGGAGGGGCGAGCGGCCUAUCAGCUUGGUGGUGGGGUGCUGGACUACCAAGGCGGAGACGGGUGGGCGGUCUGAGAGGGUGACCGGCACUGUUGGGACUGCGAUCGGGCCUAGACUGCGACGAGAGGCAGCAGUGGGGGAUAUUGCACAAUGGUCGAAAGCCUGUGGCAGCGACGCCGAGUGGGGGAUGAAGGCUUUCGGGUUGUAAACCUCGUUCGCUAUCGAACGGGUAGGUGGAGAAGAAGCGCCGGCUAACUACGUGCCAGCAGCCGCGGUAAUUC
rnacentral:rRNA from 1 species